rnacentral:lncRNA from 1 species
UUUAACUAUGUUAUCUUGGAAAGCUUGAGGCAUGUUCCAAGCAACUUAAGAUACUAAAAGUAAAUGUUUGUCUUGAUGUGGAGUUUAAGAACUCAGUUUUUGUUCCUACACGUCUAUCAUCCAGAUAUAUUGGCCCUUAUCAACAAAUAUUUGAGCCCGGCCUUUUGAAAACUUCAAAUUAUGUAUCUGUGCUAUAUAUUGAAUAUUGAUUUCUUUAGAAUAACUGUAUUUUCUUUUCAUCAAGCUCUUAUAAAUCAAGCAAACUAGACAAGGAUUCUCAAAGCUAGAAUAUAAAUGUCUAUCAUCUUGCUUAAUAAACUUCCUAGGUGCUAAUGGUUGAUAAUUGGGCUAUAAAUGUUGUUGCCUAUAAAAACCAAAGAUAUUUAUUUCCAAUGUAAAAAGACUACUAAGCAUCACACUGGUGAUGUAGCUAGAGUUGAAGUGGAGCAUAGGUUAGAGUAUGUC